rnacentral:lncRNA from 1 species
AGUUGUCCGAUUUUUAGUAAGAGAUAAGUUGAUUUCUCAGCCGUUGCAUAUGAUUCAUGCUUUAAGAUUCGAAAUGGAUGAUGAAUAAAAGAGGUUAAAAUGAGAUUUUGAUACUAAUCCAACGGUUCUAUUCGUCAACUUAGAGUUAAGCCUUUUGCUUAAAAACCUUAAAUGUAGCCACACCCUAAGGACAUUUAGUGCAAUCAAACGAUGACCUUUUUAGACUGGCCUCCAUAAAACUGGCGACUAAACACCAAGCCCAAGAACAACCUAGCCCGAGGACCAGAAAACACCCUUUUGGCAUUAUUAAUCGUUUUCAGGAUAUAAAAAAAAAUGAUUUCUAUACUUUAAAAAAAAUGUCAUUCUUGUCAUUUCCAGGCUUUCGGGUUG